GGAAGGGUGGCCGAGUGGUUUAAAGUGUAGCACUGGAAAUGCUAUGUAGAUUUUUUUUUACCGAGGGUUCGAAUCCCUCCCCUUCCU
rnacentral:tRNA from 1 species